UACGUAGGGUGCGAGCGUUGUCCGGAAUUAUUGGGCGUAAAGAGCUUGUAGGCGGUCUGUCGCGUCUGCUGUGAAAAUCCGGGGCUCAACCCCGGACUUGCAGUGGGUACGGGCAGACUAGAGUGUGGUAGGGGAGACUGGAAUUCCUGGUGUAGCGGUGAAAUGCGCAGAUAUCAGGAGGAACACCGAUGGCGAAGGCAGGUCUCUGGGCCACUACUGACGCUGAGAAGCGAAAGCAUGGGGAGCGUACAGG
rnacentral:rRNA from 1 species